AUUGAACGCUGGCGGCAUGCUUUAUACAUGCAAGUCGAACGGAAGCGCGGGCUUCUUCCUGCCGGCGCGUGGCCAACGGGCGAGUAAUUAACAGGAACGUGACCAGCAGUUGGGGCUAGGCCGGCGACAGGCGGCUUAAUAUAGUAUACGACCUUAGGGUGAACGGGGGGGACCGAAAGUGCUCGACGGAUUUGCGGGGCCGUAGAGGGUUAGCUAGUUGGUGGGGUAAAGGCUUACCAAGGCCACGAUCCGUAGCCGGUCUGAGAGGACGACCCGCCACACUGGAACUGAGACACGGCCCAGACUCCUACGGGAGGCAGCAGUGGGGAAUUUUGGACAAUGGGGGCAACCCUGAUCCAGCCAUGCCGCGUGCGUGAAGAAGGCCUUCGGGUUGUAAACCGCUUUUAUUCGGGAAGAAAACCUCUGGGCUAAUACCCCGAGGUGAUGACGGUACCGGAAGAGUAAGCACCGGCUAACUACGUG
rnacentral:rRNA from 1 species